UACAGAGGUGGCAAGCGUUGUUCGGAAUUACUGGGCGUAAAGGGCGCGUAGGCGGUUCGAUAAGUCCCGUGUGAAAUCCCUCGGCUCAACUGAGGAACUGCACGGGAAACUGACGGGCUUGAGUUCGGGAGAGGGAAGCGGAAUUCCGGGUGUAGCGGUGAAAUGCGUAGAUAUCGGGAGGAACAUCGAUGGCGAAGGCAAUCACCUGGGCCUGAACUGACACUGAGACACGAAAGCGUGGGUAGCAAACAGG
rnacentral:rRNA from 1 species